AUAUAAGGUAAAUAGGAGGGGUGGGGUGACUCGAGCUACGUCAUACCUCUUUCAGCUGUCGGACGCCGUCGAGACAAGUCUCAACUAGUUUCGCUCCACGUACAUGUAAUCAUUAUCGAUGACGUGAAUGCAUUGAAAUUAGAAGACGUUCACCAUCGUUCCAUGGAAAUUAUACUAAUCAAUGGUGGUAUAUACAACUGCAUACAUACGUGCAAGUGUAUUUCUUUCUUUCUUUCUUUCUUUUCUUUAAUUUUAUAAAUGCAUCAAUUUCCAAAUGGAUCGUUCGAUGCAUUAGAAAAUUUUAAC
rnacentral:lncRNA from 1 species